rnacentral:rRNA from 1 species
UACGAAGGAGGCUAGCGUUGUUCGGAAUUACUGGGCGUAAAGGGCGCGUAGGCGGUACUUCAAGUCAGGCGUGAAAGCCCCGGGCUCAACCUGGGAACCGCGCUUGAGACUGGAGAACUAGAGUUCGGGAGAGGAUGGUGGAAUUCCCAGUGUAGAGGUGAAAUUCGUAGAUAUUGGGAAGAACACCGAUGGCGAAGGCAGCCAUCUGGACCGACACUGACGCUGAGGCGCGAAAGCGUGGGGAGCAAACAGG